rnacentral:rRNA from 1 species
GGGCCGGUUUUCCGGGAUAUUGGGCGUAAGAGCUCGUAGGCGGUUUGUCGCGUCUGCCGUGAAAGUCCGGGGCUCAACUCCGGAUCUGCGGUGGGUACGGGCAGACUAGAGUGAUGUAGGGGAGACUGGAAUUCCUGGUGUAGCGGUGAAAUGCGCAGAUAUCAGGAGGAACACCGAUGGCGAAGGCAGGUCUCUGGGCAUUAACUGACGCUGAGGAGCGAAAGCAUGGGGAGCGAACAGGAUUAGAUACCCUGGUAGUCCAUGCCGUAAACGUUGGGCACUAGGUGUGGGGGACAUUCCACGUUUUCCGCGCCGUAGCUAACGCAUUAAGUGCCCCGCCUGGGGAGUACGGCCGCAAGGCUAAAACUCAAAGGAAUUGACGGGGGCCCGCACAAGCGGCGGAGCAUGCGGAUUAAUUCGAUGCAACGCGAAGAACCUUACCAAGGCUUGACAUGAACCGGUAAGACCUGGAAACAGGUCCCCCACUUGUGGCCGGUUUACAGGUGGUGCAUGGUUGUCGUCAGCUCGUGUCGUGAGAUGUUGGGUUAAGUCCCGCAACGAGCGCAACCCUCAUCCUUAGUUGCCAUCAUUGAGUUGGGAACUCUAAGGAAACUGCCUCGGUUAACGGGGAGGAAGGUGGGGAUGACGUCAAGUCCUCAUGGCCUUUAUAUCCAGGGCUACACACGUGCUACAAUGGGCGGAACAAAGGGUUGCAAUCCCGCGAGGGGGAGCUAAUCUCAAAAAACCGCUCUCAGUUCAGAUUGGAGUCUGCAACUCGACUCCAUGAAGGCGGAAUCGCUAGUAAUCGCGGAUCAGCAUGCCGCGGUGAAUACGUUCCCGGGCCUUGUACACACCGCCCGUCACACCAUGAGAGCUGACUGUACCAGAAGUCGCUCGGCUAACCCGCAAGGGAUGCAGGCGCCUAAGGUAUGGUUGGUGAUUGGGGUGAAGUCGUAACAGGUAAC